UUUAACUGAAGAGUUUGAUCAUGGCUCAGAUUGAACGCUGGCGGCAGGCUUAACACAUGCAAGUCGAGCGGGGGAAGGUAGCUUGCUACUGGACCUAGCGGCGGACGGGUGAGUAAUGCUUAGGAAUCUGCCUAUUAGUGGGGGACAACAUCUCGAAAGGGAUGCUAAUACCGCAUACGUCCUACGGGAGAAAGCAGGGGAUCUUCGGACCUUGCGCUAAUAGAUGAGCCUAAGUCGGAUUAGCUAGUUGGUGGGGUAAAGGCCUACCAAGGCGACGAUCUGUAGCGGGUCUGAGAGGAUGAUCCGCCACACUGGGACUGAGACACGGCCCAGACUCCUACGGGAGGCAGCAGUGGGGAAUAUUGGACAAUGGGGGGAACCCUGAUCCAGCCAUGCCGCGUGUGUGAAGAAGGCCUUAUGGUUGUAAAGCACUUUAAGCGAGGAGGAGGCUACUUUAGUUAAUACCUAGAGAUAGUGGACGUUACUCGCAGAAUAAGCACCGGCUAACUCUGUGCCAGCAGCCGCGGUAAUACAGAGGGUGCGAGCGUUAAUCGGAUUUACUGGGCGUAAAGCGUGCGUAGGCGGCUUAUUAAGUCGGAUGUGAAAUCCCCGAGCUUAACUUGGGAAUUGCAUUCGAUACUGGUGAGCUAGAGUAUGGGAGAGGAUGGUAGAAUUCCAGGUGUAGCGGUGAAAUGCGUAGAGAUCUGGAGGAAUACCGAUGGCGAAGGCAGCCAUCUGGCCUAAUACUGACGCUGAGGUACGAAAGCAUGGGGAGCAAACAGGAUUAGAUACCCUGGUAGUCCAUGCCGUAAACGAUGUCUACUAGCCGUUGGGGCCUUUGAGGCUUUAGUGGCGCAGCUAACGCGAUAAGUAGACCGCCUGGGGAGUACGGUCGCAAGACUAAAACUCAAAUGAAUUGAC
rnacentral:rRNA from 1 species